UCAAACUUGGUCAUUUAGAGGAAGUAAAAGUCGUAACAAGGUUUCCGUAGGUGAACCUGCGGAAGGAUCAUUAAAAAGUUUGUCACAUCCGUGACCUACUCUUGUGCAUUUGUUUUUCAUUGCCUUUGGCAGUCUCAGUCUUUUCGUAAGAAAAGCUCUGAUUUUUUUUUUUUUUCAGGAGGCUGCCAGUAGUGUUUUAACAGUUAAUAGUGUUAAUACAAAACCCCCAAAAAUCCUUUUUUACCUAAUAUGUCUGAAUUAUUUAAAAUCUUGUGAUUUUAUAAUCAUAGAAUUUUAAAACAACUUUUGACAACGGAUCUCUUGGCUCUCGCAUCGAUGAAGAACGCAGC
rnacentral:misc_RNA from 1 species